rfam:Triticum urartu cultivar G1812 contig626177, whole genome shotgun sequence.
CCUCUCAAGGAUACAGAAGUAAACUCCUACAUCCUCAAGGGUCUAGACCUCGAGUACAACUCAGUGGUCUCGGCCAUCACUGCCCGCGUCGAGCCGGUCUCCAUGCCGGAACUCUACAGUCAGUUGAUAAGCUUCGAGG